UGGUGGAGUGAUUUGUCUGGUUAAUUCCGUUAAUGAACGAGACCUCGACCUGCUAAAUAGUUUGGCGAAUUCCCUGUGGAUUCGCUCAUAACUUCUUAGAGGGACUAUCGGUUCGCAGCCGGUGGAAGUUCGAGGCAAUAACA
rnacentral:rRNA from 1 species